CUAUCGUUUGUCGGUCGCUGAAAAACAGCGAUCGGGUUUGGUAGCCCGUUUC
rnacentral:ncRNA from 1 species